GGUCAGUUGCAAAAACAAACCAGCAAGAGAUACACAACCAAUAGUGGAUUACGUUCAUCCCACAACAAUAAUUCAACAGAGACCUCGUGCAAACAAGUGAACAGCACUUACUCCAAUCACCAUGAAUAAAGUUCUGCUUAUCGUCCUGGUGCUGGCUGUGUUGACGGGCCUUGCCUGCGCUAUGCCACAGGUGAUCAUAACACGGCAGAGAAAAUUCCCCGGUGAGAGGCGUCUGGGUACCGUGAACUACGGCCAGUACCGCUUCGGCAAGAGAGGAUACCAGAGGAAGAACCAUUCCAGAAAGAAGAACUGAGAAGGAAAACACUAUCAAACAACGUCAUUUUUGGGCAAUGACCCCUCGCAGACCAAAGCCUUCAAGGGGACUUAAAGGGAGGGAAAGAAAGGGGAAAAAGAGGGGAAAAAGGGGAAAAGGGAAAGGGAGGGCAGGCUUUGGUAAGCAGGAAGUAAACAAAAUCCUUAGACUUUAGUAGGCGCCUCAGCAAUCGUUGAAGACAGACCAUAUAAGUCGAAACGCCUCGUGGGGUACGCAUUAUCAGGCACCGCAGUCGCAAGCAGCAGCCAAAGAGGAGGACACAUGAAGCCAGUGACUGCAGGGGUAGAUACGGCGGAACCCUGCCCGCUUCGCUAACACCGCUUUCUCAUCAUAUUCCUAAAGGAUUCAUCGAUAUCCUAUACCAAUGAAGACUACGUUAUCUGAAGUCUUGAAGUCUGAAUAUCUGAAAUUUGGCUCAAAGUCUGGAUUCAGAAGAUUGUAGAGACUUCAGCUACAGUCUGAAGUUUAGCUCUACAUCUGGAUUCAGAAGACUGUAGAGACUUCAGCUACAGUCUGAAGUUUAGCUCUACAUCUGGCUUUAGAAGAUUGCUGGGACUUCAGCUUCAGACUAGAAUGACUCCGUGUAUAGUUGUAUGGCUGUAUUUAUUUAAUAGCACCGCUUAUAAUGGCUGUAUGCCUGAUCAUAUUUUCUUGUUAUGUUACUGAAUUGUCUGAGUGCGUGAGUUAUAUUUAUCUACAUUGUACAGAAAUGAAUCGCAAGUAUUUGAUAUUAUUUUUGCUAAACGAAGAUUGUUAUUCUUGUUAUGUAAUUAUAUGUUUUAUAUAGUUAAUAUAUAUUGUUGACUAUUUUGUAAAUACGUUAGUGUUGUAAAUUAAAACACGUAUUUUCUUA